GUUUGCACUUGUCGGGGAAGGGUGAGAACCUUCGAUUAAGGUUCGACUCGAGCGAAAGCGAGAGAACGUUGCCAACGGCAACGGCCCGUAGGGUGAGGAGCGAAGCGACGAAUAAUCUUUCCCCCACCACCA
rnacentral:sRNA from 1 species